GCUAGUAUAGUUUAACAAAAACACUAGGCUGUGGCUCUAAAAAUAGAAGUUCAACCCUUCUUACUAACC
rnacentral:tRNA from 1 species